rnacentral:rRNA from 1 species
GUUUGAUCCUGGCUCAGGACGAACGCUGGCGGCGUGCCUAACACAUGCAAGUCGAGCGAAUGAAGUUCCUUCGGGAACGGAUUUAGCGGCGGACGGGUGAGUAACACGUGGGCAACCUGCCUCAUAGAGGGGAAUAGCCUUCCGAAAGGGAGAUUAAUACCGCAUAAGAUUGUAGUACCGCAUGGUACAGCAAUUAAAGGAGCAAUCCGCUAUGAGAUGGGCCCGCGGCGCAUUAGCUAGUUGGUGAGGUAACGGCUCACCAAGGCGACGAUGCGUAGCCGACCUGAGAGGGUGACCGGCCACACUGGGACUGAGACACGGCCCAGACUCCUACGGGAGGCAGCAGUAGGGAAUCUUCGGCAAUGGGGGCAACCCUGACCGAGCAACGCCGCGUGAGUGAAGAAGGUUUUCGGAUCGUAAAGCUCUGUUGUAAGUCAAGAACGAGUGUGAGAGUGGAAAGUUCACACUGUGACGGUAGCUUACCAGAAAGGGACGGCUAACUACGUGCCAGCAGCCGCGGUAAUACGUAGGUCCCGAGCGUUGUCCGGAUUUAUUGGGCGUAAAGCGAGCGCAGGCGGUUUGAUAAGUCUGAAGUUAAAGGCUGUGGCUCAACCAUAGUUCGCUUUGGAAACUGUCAAACUUGAGUGCAGAAGGGGAGAGUGGAAUUCCAUGUGUAGCGGUGAAAUGCGUAGAUAUAUGGAGGAACACCGGUGGCGAAAGCGGCUCUCUGGUCUGUAACUGACGCUGAGGCUCGAAAGCGUGGGGAGCGAACAGGAUUAGAUACCCUGGUAGUCCACGCCGUAAACGGUGGAUGCUGGAUGUGGGGCCCGUUCCACGGGUU